rnacentral:sRNA from 1 species
UAAUUAAUUUUUUAAACACACACACAUAUCGACACAUACACUUGGGUGCGUUUAAACCAAAUUAGCGGUUUAAAUGUUGGUGCUAUGGGAUAUGUGGAGGCCUAAC